GUGCUGGCUUCGGCAGCACAUAUACUAAUAUUGGAAAGAUACAGAGAAGAUUAGCAUGACCCCUGCACAAGGAUGACAUGCAAAUUCGUGAAGCAUUCCUUUUUUUU
rnacentral:snRNA from 1 species